rnacentral:rRNA from 1 species
AGCGAACGCUGGCGGCAGGCUUAACACAUGCAGGUCGAGCGGGCAUCCUUGUGGUGUCAGCGGCAGACGGGUGAGUAACGCGUGGGAACGUGCCCUUCGGUUCGGAAUAACUCCGGGAAACUUGAGCUAAUACCGGAUACGUGCGAGAGCAGAAAGGUUUAUCUGCCGAAGGAUCGGCCCGCGUCUGAUUAGCUAGUUGGUGAGGUUACGGCUCACCAAGGCGACGAUCAGUAGCUGGUCUGAGAGGAUGAUCAGCCACACUGGGACUGAGACACGGCCCAGACUCCUACGGGAGGCAGCAGUGGGGAAUAUUGGACAAUGGGGGCAACCCUGAUCCAGCCAUGCCGCGUGAGUGAUGACGGCCUUAGGGUUGUAAAGCUCUUUUCUCCGGGACGAUAAUGACGGUACCGGAGGAAUAAGCCCCGGCUAACUUCGUG